UACGUAGGCAGCAAGCGUUGUUCGGAGUUACUGGGCGUAAAGGGUGUGUAGGCGGUUCCUUAAGUUUGCUGUGAAAUCUCCCGGCUUAACCGGGAGGGUGCGGUGAAUACUGAGGGACUAGAGUACGGGAGAGGAAAGUGGAAUUCCUGGUGUAGCGGUGAAAUGCGUAGAUAUCAGGAGGAACACCGGUGGUGUAGACGGCUUUCUGGACCGUAACUGACGCUGAGACACGAAAGCGUGGGUAGCAACCAGG
rnacentral:rRNA from 1 species